AUUGAACGCUGGCUGCACGCUUAACACAUGCAAGUCGAACGGCAGCACAGUCCUGCGAAAGCAGGAUGGGUGGCGAGUGGCGGACGGGUGAGUAAUACAUAGAAACCUGCCCUUGAGAGGAGGAUAACCCCGGGAAACCGGGGCUAAUACUGCGUACACUCGGGAGAGGAAAGCUGGGGACUCCGCAAGGAGCCUGGCGCUCUAGGAGGGGUCUAUGUCGGAUUAGCUAGUUGGUGGGGUAAUGGCCUACCAAGGCAACGAUCUGUAGCUGGUCUGAGAGGACGGACAGCCACACUGGGACUGAGACACGGCCCAGACUCCUACGGGAGGCAGCAGUGGGGAAUAUUGGACAAUGGGCGCAAGCCUGAUCCAGCCAUGCCGCGUGUGUGAAGAAGGCCUUCGGGUUGUAAAGCACUUUCAGUAGGGAGGAAGGGUGUUGUGUUAAUAGCACAGCAUUUUGACGUUACCUACAGAAGAAGCACCGGCUAACUCUGUGCCAGCCGCCGCCGUAAAAC
rnacentral:rRNA from 1 species